UACGGAGGGUGCAAGCGUUAUCCGGAUUCACUGGGUUUAAAGGGUGCGUAGGUGGGCAGGUAAGUCCGUGGUGAAAUCUCCGGGCUUAACUCGGAAACUGCCAUUGAUACUAUCUGUCUUGAAUACCGUGGAGGUCAGCGGAAUAUGUCAUGUAGCGGUGAAAUGCUUAGAUAUGACAUAGAACACCAAUUGCGAAGGCAGCUGGCUACACGAAUAUUGACACUGAUGCACGAAAGCGUGGGGAUCAAACAGG
rnacentral:rRNA from 1 species